rnacentral:tRNA from 1 species
GUUUUAAUAAUUUAAAAUAAAAUAUUGGUCUUGUAAAUCAAAUAUAAGAAUUUAUUCUUUUAAAACU